rnacentral:lncRNA from 1 species
GCAAGAUCUGCUGUUAUGCAUUUCAGCAAGAAAAACAUUGCUUUGUUGCUUUCCUGGAGAGUAUCUACUCAAAGUUGGCCAGAUACAACAUGAGACUGAAAGUUUCUGAUUUCAAGGAACAUCACUGCUUCAAGAUUCAAUACUGCCAUGGUAUCUUCCUUUGGAGCAAAAACACCCUGGACAUUUGCCUCUCAUAGCCAGCAGUCCAGGCAUGUGGAAACGGGCUCUACAGUUCAUCAGGUGGCCUCAUUUAUUCAUGUGAGAGCAGCCCUAGAUCAGGUACUACAGUGA